GGCAUAUGUUAAUGUGAAUGUGGAGGUCAGAGGAGAACUAGAGAGCUGGUUUUCUCUUUACAAAAUAUGGCUUCUAGGUAUCACUCUUGAUGUAAAACCUAUGCAUACAUGUAUUUUUCAAAGCAAGAGAAUAGAUCAAAUUGUUUUUUAAGUUUUUCAGUAAAAAUGAACUUAAUUUCCAUUUUAAUAAAUUGUUAUGUCAUCUAACAAAAGACCCUAAUUUGUUCCAGAAUUUCAACUGCUGCUCAAUUGGGAGACAAUGAAGGAUCAUGUAUUGUUCUAGCUGCUGGACCUUGGCAAUGCUUUGUAAUCACAUUUUUUAAAAAACUUAAUUGCUAAGGAAGCCAAGAAUUUCUUCUCUCUUAAUUAUAAGGAACAGUAAAGAGAGUACCCGGCCUACAUCUGGUGAACUCACUUCUGGUAUGAAUGUUCACACCAAUUAAGGUGAAAGGCAGGGCCCUGCUUCUUAAUGGUGUCUCCUUCACCUAUCCUCCGUAUUCAAGCUCCACCUUUGGUUGGUGGUUCAGUCUCUGAGAAUCCCCAAGGAUCCAGGUUAGUUGACUCUGUUGGUCUUCUUGUGGAGUCCCUACUUCCAACAGGUUCCUCAAACCUUUCCUCAAUUCUUCCACAAGACUUUCUGAGCUCAAGGUAAUGUUUGGCUGUAUGUCUCUGCAUCUGUUUUGACCAGCUGCUGUGUGUCCUCUCAGAGGACAAAUAUGCUAGGCUCCUGUCUGCAGGUAUAACAGAGUAUCUGCAAUUAAGAAAUUGGUUUUUGCCUCAAGAAAUUUUCUGGGGAAGGGAUGGUACUAGAAAACAUCAUCCUGAGUGAGGUAAAUCAGAUCCAAAAGCACAUCUAUAGUAUGUUCUUAGUUAUAAGUAGAUAUUAGCCAUAAAAUACAGGAUACUCAUAUUACAUUCCACAGACCCA